UGCGAGCCGAAGCUACUACAUUCAGGCUAACCUAUUAGUCUUUAACUACAUCGACCCUUGGCUAUAGGAUAUUUUUACUCUUUAAUUAGCAGUUUAUGUCUUUCAGUGAGUCUUCAGUUUACAAAUGCAGAAUAUAUGUACUAGAUGUAGGGACUGGGGAGGGACUGAGGCUUCUGUGGUUUUGUCAUCAGCAAUUUAGAUUUGGUUUCAG
rnacentral:lncRNA from 1 species